CGGCGGGGUCGGCCGGCGUUGUGCCGGCACACGCAACCGUGUCUUGGCUCAGUGAGUGGUAGCCGCCGUUGUUUCCAGACACAGAGUAACGUGAGGAGGGAUGUGAGACUACCUGCCGUACAGCUGUGGAAGCCCAGGGCAGAGAAUGGUGAAGUCGAAGAAAGGGGCCACAGUCAGAAACACGCGGCUCUCCACACUCCCCUGGAACCGGAUCUUCUGCAGUCCCGUCCUUGUCUAAGCCCAUCAGGAGAGGUGCCGAGAGCUUCUGAGACUGAGCCCCCAACCCCACCCCAGGCGGGACUGGGCACAGAGGCCUGAGGACCCGGGGCCUGCGCUGGGUUGAUGGGAUCACCUGAAUCGAGCCCAGUCUCCUCCUCGGUCAGGUUCAGGAUGUAGGUGUCAGGACUGGAGCAGAAGUCGCUAAGGCCCUGAGAGAAGCAUCAGGAAAAAGGGCUCAGACCAGAAACUUUUCUAGUUCCACACUCGCACAGAACUCAUGUCUGGAUAACAGCCCAGCCCCCAGCCCUGGGAAGCCAGGAGUCCAGGCCCCCAGGCCCAGGAGUCCUGGCCCCCAGCCCCUCCUCCCUCAGACCCAGGAGUCUGGGCCCCUAGCCCCCCCUCCCUUAGAACACGCGUAUCCAAGGCUCUAGCUUCCAGCCCUCAGGAUCUAGACCUCAGAACCUGGGAUCCUGGCCCCAAGUCCUUCCUCUCAGGGUCUGCCCCGGGAUGCAGUAGCCAAGGCUGCUAGCCCCACGUCCCAGGGCCCAGGGGCCUGGCCUGCAGCACUCACCACAGCUGUAGCCGCCUCCAGGCCCAUGGAGCCCCAGCUCAGGACAAGAACCAGGAGACUCAUCACUGCCAUCCUAUAAAGGGGGGGACUCAUCACGGUCCAUCCCAUCACAGCCCCCCUUCCCUACCACCCUCUGGAGCCUGGAGGGGCAGAAAUAGGGGCAGAGAAACUGGGCGGGGGUGGGGAGUGCAGGUUGUAGAUCUGUGGUUGUUGACGUCAAGCUGAACAACUUCAGCUUGCCUCCCCAGGGGUGAGGGGGGAAGACAGUGAGAAGGGGCCUGGGCUGGCAAGCCAGCACCCCAGAUCCCAGCCCGGCUCUGCCCCUGCCUUGCACCGGGAUUCUGGGAGAGCUACCGCCUGCUUCUGGGCUCUUUCCUGGCUUUGAGUUCACAGAAGCCCAGCAAGCCGCAAACGUGCCUCCCGGGUUUGAGCAUAGCUUGGUCAGCCUCCUGCUCUGUCCAGACUCCUCCCCCGAGGAGCGGGGACAUAGCCAAGGCUGAAACUGCAGCCUGAGUUUUCUCUAGGGAUGGGGUCUGGGCGCGAGGGUUAGCACUGGCGGGUGGUCACCGUCCGGAAGCCUCAGGGGGAGCCCGCAUGGGACAGUGGCACUUCUUACCCAGGGUGGGCGUGGAGACCGGGGAGCCCCAGCAGGGCCCCCAGAGGCAGGGAGGAAGCAAGGGCCCCCCUGAGUGGCAUAGGCUGGCCUGAGUCGAACACCAGCUCCAGCAUUCCCUGGCUGUGCAGCCCUGAGCAGGAGGCCCAAACUCUCCGAGCCCCAGUCCCCCCUGUGUCAAAUGGGGAGAAGGAAAGCAUUUCCUCACAGGGUCAGCCUGCAGGUUCCAGAAGAGAGCUGGCCGUAUUUAACGAGCCAUUAAAUCAGAGAGUGGUACUGAGAUUCCCGUGAGCCACACAAUGGCCACGCAGCCUCAGAUGUGGCUGCCUUCUGCCUCGGUCCCUCCUCUGCACGUCAGGUGCCUGAGGGGCCCCUUGAUCACAGGUGGUUGUGUGUGCACGGUCCUCAGCAGAAGUCAGCAAUCACCCCCUUCCUGAGCACGACCGUUACGGGCUUUUGUCUAGGAUUUGGAGCACCCGCGUGGCCUCGAAUCCUGCGUUUCCAGGUCUGCCCUGUGCCUCCCGGGCUGCUCCAGGCCUGGUUUCUCUGCACGCACUGGCCCAGCCCAGGACCCUCGGGGGCAAGCCUGUGGGAUGGGGGCACGAAAGCAGUGCGAGGCUGGGAAGGACAGCAGUGGUCCCUCUCGCAAGAGCGCCAUGGGAUGGAAAGAGGUCCCCUCGUGCUGUGACGUGAGCCCGCCUGCCACGAGGGCGCCUGCUCUUACACGAUCACCAGCCACUUGCUCUGCUUUGCCAGGCCCAGGAGCGUGAAGAGACAGACCAGCAGCUCCAGCAGCAGCAGGAGGACGUAGGCCAGCCACCUGGAGAAGGGACAGAGUGAGACAAAUCCAGCCUUCAGCACCCCGGCUCCCAGGCCAAGACUUGGCACAGGGGGACGGCUCCCCAACAUUCAUGCCCUGCUCUGCCUGACCAUACGGGCCCCCCCCUCCCCAGCUGCCAGGCCCCCGGGCUGCAGCCGGCUCAUCAUGAAACGGGUGCGCUGGGAGGCGGGCCGCCGUAGCCCUUCAGGGCUCAGGUCCCAGGGCCAGGGCACCUGGACCCGUUCCCGGAUGGCAGCGAGCAGAAGCCCGCUAACAGGCACAAGUGAUUGGCCUCCUGGAGCCCCACCUGCCUCCCCAGGCUGCAGGGUGAAGUGAGUCAUUCCCAGGCACGCUGAGUGUCACAUUGCACGGCCUGGGGCUCGGGGCCAGCCUCUCUCUGCCUCCUAGCUGCACGCAACCCUUGUCUCUGGAACUUUGCCUCCUGUGCCUCGGUUUCCCCGCCUGUACCACGGGGGGAGAACAACAGCACCUACUCCAAGAGCUUGUCGCAAGGCUAGUGGGAGAGCACUUAGAAGGGUGCCAAGGGCGCCUGGGUGGCUCAGUCGGUUGAGCGUCCGACUUCGGCUCGGGUCAUGAUCUCACAGUCUGUGAGUUCGAGCCCCAUAUCGGGCUCUGUGCUGAUGGCUCAGAGCCUGGAGCCUGCU